UUCCAGACUCCUACGGGAGGCAGCAGUGGGGAAUAUUGCACAAUGGGGGGAACCCUGAUGCAGCGACGCCGCGUGGGUGAAGAAGCGCCUCGGCGCGUAAAGCCCUGUCAGCAGGGAAGAAAAUGACGGUACCUGAAGAAGAAGCCCCGGCUAACUACGUGCCAGCAGCCGCGGUAAUACGUAGGGGGCAAGCGUUAUCCGGAUUUACUGGGUGUAAAGGGGGCGCAGACGGCGAUGCAAGCCAGGAGUGAAAGCCCGGGGCCCAACCCCGGGACUGCUCUUGGAACUGCGUGGCUGGAGUGCAGGAGGGGCAGGCGGAAUUCCUGGUGUAGCGGUGAAAUGCGUAGAUAUCAGGAGGAACACCGGUGGCGAAGGCGGCCUGCUGGACUGCAACUGACGUUGAGGCCCGAAAGCGUGGGGAGCAAACAGGAUUAGAUACCCCAGUA
rnacentral:rRNA from 1 species